rnacentral:lncRNA from 1 species
UUCUUCCUCUUCUCGCUGUUCUUGGUGGAGGAGGAGAUUAGGGUUUGAUUAGGGUAGAUAGAGAGAGAGGGGUUGGGUUUGGUUGGUGUUUGUGUGGAGAUGGACCCCAAAUUCCCCCCACCCCCACCGCUAAACAAAACGGAGCCCACCACCACCACCACCAACCAGCAGCAUCACCACGAUGAGCAGCAGCAGCAGCAUCGCCUCCAGAUUCAAGUUCAUCCUCAGCAGCAGGAGCAGCAGGAUGGAGGUGGAGGAGGAGGGAAGGAUCAGCAGCAGCAGCAGCAGAUGCAGGUGGUGGUUGCGGCGGCGGCGGGGGAGAGGAGGAUGCAGGGGCUAGGGCCGAAGCGGAGCUCGAACAAGGACCGCCACACCAAGGUGGACGGGCGGGGGCGGCGGAUCCGGAUGCCGGCGCUGUGCGCCGCCCGGAUCUUCCAGCUCACGCGGGAGCUCGGCCACAAGUCCGACGGCGAGACCGUCCAGUGGCUGCUCCAGCAGGCGGAGCCGGCCAUCGUCGCCGCCACGGGGACCGGGACCAUCCCGGCGUCCGCGCUCGCCUCCGUCGCCCCCUCCCUCCCUUCCCCCAACUCCGCCCUCUCCAGGUCGCACCACCACCACCACCACAUGUGGGCGGCAGCGCCGCCCACGGCGUCCGCCGGGUUCGCCGGUGCAGGGUUCUCCGGCGCCGACUCCGGGGUGAUCGGCGGGAUCAUGCAGCGGAUGGGGAUCCCCGCCGGGAUCGAGCUCCAGGGCGGGGGAGCGGGGGGGUUGGGGGGUGGGGGUGGCGGCGGCGGUGGCCACAUCGGGUUCGCGCCCAUGUUCGCCGGCCACGCGGCGGCGGCGGCGGCCAUGCCGGGGCUAGAGCUAGGGCUCUCGCAGGACGGCCACAUCGGCGUGCUCGCCGCGCAGUCGCUCAGCCAGUUCUACCACCAGGUCGGCGCCGCCGGUCAGCUGCAGCACCAGCACCAGCAUCACCAUCAGCAGCAGCAGCAGCAGCAGGAGGACGGGGAGGACGACCGCGACGACGGCGAGUCCGAUGAGGAGUCCGGGCAGUAGUAGCCGCGCCGCCUGAAUUUGUUCAUCCACGCGUCGUCUCUUCGGAGGAGAAAAGAGAAUUCUAGGAAGGACAUGCAGCUAAUGGAGGGGGGAAUGGAAUGCUUUUGUUACUGUUGGGUUGUUCUUCAUGGGGGUUUUUAUGUCUGAUUUUUUUUCCUCGUGUGGUGUCGAAGCUCGAAAGAGGCUACUACUUUGCUCCGGCGACUUGUUGGGAUGGAUCAUGAUCAUCUUCAGUUGUUACUCCUGCUGCUCCAUGGAUGGUUGCCGGUUUAUCCCCCUCCAAGUGUUUAGGUGUAUAAUAGCCGAGAGCUGGAUGGACUGGAUCAUCGCUGUCGAGUGAGUGCCUUAUUUGUUAUUGCAGGUCGUUGUGUAGAUAUUCAGGUAUUUUUGCAGUUAGAGAGGUCUUCUUUUUUCCUUUUUACGAGAGUGAUGAUCCGCUUAUGUGCGACAAAUACGAUGUCCGUCAAACUGAUCCUCACCCACGGGCUGUUUCUGCAACGCAAAUAUGAUGCAUAUACAUUUUUAGAGGCCUGAUUUUAUAUGCUUAUUCUUUUGUGGUAUGUUGUAUGAUGUCGGUUUCAAGGUUUCUCUUGAUUUUCCCUGGCUUGCUUUUAGUUUGUGUAGCAUGUUUACUAUUUUUGUCAAUUUCUUGAUUUGGGUGACCUGUCUAUUAAUAGAACGGAACAGCAGAAACAUCAACAAUGUGUGCUUGCAGGCAUGGUGUCAACGUGUCAUGGUGAAAAUAAAUGUGUAAUGUUUCUCUGUAGAGCAUGUUUUACACUUUUAGUGCCUCAUAUAUAGCACACAAUUAUACAGUAGAGCAAUGCUUCAUGAUUGAGAAAAAAAUCGCAUGAUGUGGCGCUGUAAAUUCCAAGCAUUCCCACGGUGUUUAAGUAAAGUAAUAUAACUCAAAAGCUUUUCACCU